UGGGGAAUAUUGGACAAUGGGCGCAAGCUUGAUCCAGCCAUGCCGCGUGAGUGAUGAAGGCCCUAGGGUUGUAAAGCUCUUUCACCGGUGAAGAUAAUGACGGUAACCGGAGAAGAAGCCCCGGCUAACUUCGUGCCAGCAGCCGCGGUAAUACGAAGGGGGCUAGCGUUGUUCGGAUUUACUGGGCGUAAAGCGCACGUAGGCGGACUAUUAAGUCAGGGGUGAAAUCCCGGGGCUCAACCCCGGAACUGCCUUUGAUACUGGUAGUCUUGAGUUCGAGAGAGGGGAGUGGAAUUCCGAGUGUAGAGGUGAAAUUCGUAGAUAUUCGGAGGAACACCAGUGGCGAAGGCGGCUCACUGGCUCGAUACUGACGCUGAGGUGCGAAAGCGUGGGGAGCAAACAGG
rnacentral:rRNA from 1 species